GGACUGAUCCCUGGAAGCCAUAGAGAUUGAGAUUUCAACGUAGCACUCCAUCCAGGUUACUCUGAAUCUGAGCACAAAGCACCACAUAACACUGGACAGCUCACAUGAGGAAAAGAAGAUAAAGCACAAUGAAGUAAAGAAAAAUAUAAUAAAAUUAAUAAAGAAGAUUAAAAUCCAGACAACUGACACCAAAACGUAUGUCAAAUGUAUCCAAUACAUCAGACAAGGGCUUUUAUUUACCCUACCCCAAUGCCUGAGUGAACAGUAACAUUCGCCUUCUGGAAUACUAUCAGAAAUAUAUUUGUAAAAUAAAAAUAAACUAGGCAAAAGUUUUCA